rnacentral:rRNA from 1 species
UAGGGAAUCUUCGGCAAUGGGGGGAACCCUGACCGAGCAACGCCGCGUGAGUGAAGAAGGUUUUCGGAUCGUAAAGCUCUGUUGUUAAGGAAGAACGAGUGUGAGAAUGGAAAGUUCAUACUGUGACGGUACUUAACCAGAAAGGGACGGCUAACUACGUGCCAGCAGCCGCGGUAAUACGUAGGUCCCGAGCGUUGUCCGGAUUUAUUGGGCGUAAAGCGAGCGCAGGCGGUUAGAUAAGUCUGAAGUUAAAGGCAGUGGCUCAACCAUUGUAGGCUUUGGAAACUGUUUAACUUGAGUGCAGAAGGGGAGAGUGGAAUUCCAUGUGUAGCGGUGAAAUGCGUAGAUAUAUGGUGGAACACCGGUGGCGAAAGCGGCUCUCUGGUCUGUAACUGACGCUGAGGCUCGAAAGCGUGGGGAGCGAACAGG